rnacentral:rRNA from 1 species
UACGUAGGGUCCGAGCGUUGUCCGGAAUUAUUGGGCGUAAAGGGCUCGUAGGCGGUUCGUCACGUCGGGAGUGAAAUCUCGGAGCUUAACUCCGAAACUGCAUUCGAUACUGCCGUGCUUGAGGACUGGAGAGGAGACUGGAAUUUACGGUGUAGCGGUGAAAUGCGUAGAUAUCGUAAGGAAGACCAGUGGCGAAGGCGGGUCUCUGGACAGUUCCUGACGCUGAGGCACGAAGGUCAGGGGAGCAAACGGG